rnacentral:rRNA from 1 species
AUCCAUAGGUUAAUGAGGCGAACCGGGGGAACUGAAACAUCUAAGUACCCCGAGGAAAAGAAAUCAACCGAGAUUCCCCCAGUAGCGGCGAGCGAACGGGGAGGAGCCCAGAGCCUGAAUCAGUGUGUGUGUUAGUGGAAGCGUCUGGAAAGGCGCGCGAUACAGGGUGACAGCCCCGUACACAAAAAUGCACAUAUUGUGAGCUCGAUGAGUAGGGCGGGACACGUGGUAUCCUGUCUGAAUAUGGGGGGACCAUCCUCCAAGGCUAAAUACUCCUGACUGACCGAUAGUGAACCAGUACCGUGAGGGAAAGGCGAAAAGAACCCCGGCGAGGGGAGUGAAAAAGAACCUGAAACCGUGUACGUACAAGCAGUGGGAGCCUCUUAAUGGGGUGACUGCGUACCUUUUGUAUAAUGGGUCAGCGACUUAUAUUCUGUAGCAAGGUUAACCGAAUAGGGGAGCCGAAGGGAAACCGAGUCUUAACUGGGCGUUAAGUUGCAGGGUAUAGACCCGAAACCCGGUGAUCUAGCCAUGGGCAGGUUGAAGGUUGGGUAACACUAACUGGAGGACCGAACCGACUAAUGUUGAAAAAUUAGCGGAUGACUUGUGGCUGGGGGUGAAAGGCCAAUCAAACCGGGAGAUAGCUGGUUCUCCCCGAAAGCUAUUUAGGUAGCGCCUCGUGAAUUCAUCUCCGGGGGUAGAGCACUGUUUCGGCAAGGGGGUCAUCCCGACUUACCAACCCGAUGCAAACUGCGAAUACCGGAGAAUGUUAUCACGGGAGACACACGGCGGGUGCUAACGUCCGUCGUGAAGAGGGAAACAACCCAGACCGCCAGCUAAGGUCCCAAAGUCAUGGUUAAGUGGGAAACGAUGUGGGAAGGCCCAGACAGCCAGGAUGUUGGCUUAGAAGCAGCCAUCAUUUAAAGAAAGCGUAAUAGCUCACUGGUCGAGUCGGCCUGCGCGGAAGAUGUAACGGGGCUAAACCAUGCACCGAAGCUGCGGCAGCGACACUAUGUGUUGUUGGGUAGGGGAGCG